rnacentral:lncRNA from 1 species
UCAAACUUCCCUUUCACAACAAAUAUUCUUAAACAUUGUGUCUCUAUGAUCAGGACGUUCCUUUGUUUUUGUUCUUUAUUUUUCUCUUAAUAGACCAUCUUUCUAUCGAGCUUCUUCGAUGCUUAAUGGACCAUUGGUUUCCUUUUCAGCCUUUUUUCUCUCUUAUGCUCUCCUUGAGUAUUUAUAAAAGUACUGUUUAAUUUUGACCUGAUCUUCAUGUGCCUCUUUUGGUGAUAAAGACUUAAGGACAUGAUACAGACCAUUCUUUCACAAUGAAUAUCGAUUGGUGCAGCUGCUAUUUUAUACCUAUCUAUCAAACUUCCAAGGUCUCCUAAGUAUCAGGUGACUGACAUGCAUAUGUAUAAUAUCACAACAUACCGUAUCAUGAUAUUCUCCAACUGAGAAACACACUAUGACUUCUUU